rnacentral:rRNA from 1 species
AACGAACGCUGGCGGCAUGCCUAACACAUGCAAGUCGAACGAGACCUUCGGGUAUAGUGGCGCACGGGUGCGUAACGCGUGGGAAUCUGCCCUUCGGUUGGGAAUAACUGAGAGAAAUUUCAGCUAAUACCUUAUAAUGUCUUCGGACCAAAGAUUUAUCGCCGAGGGAUGAGCCCGCGUAGGAUUAGGUAGUUGGUGGGGUAAUGGCCUACCAAGCCGACGAUCCUUAGCUGGUCUGAGAGGAUGAUCCGCCACACUGGGACUGAGACACGGCCCAGACUCCUACGGGAUGCAGCAGUGGGGAAUAUUGGACAAUGGGCGAAAGGCUGAUCCAGCAAUGCCGCGUGAGUGCUGAAGGCCUUAGGGUUGUAAAGCUCGUUUAUCCGUGAUGAUAAUGACAGUACCGGGAGAAUAAGCGCCGGCUAACUCCGUG